GUCUAUGGCCACACCUCCCUGGACGCGCCCCGUCUUGUCUGGUCUCCGGAGCUAAGCAGGGUCAGGCCUGGUUAGUACUCGAAUGGAAGGCUGUCUGGGCAGACUGGGGGCUGUAGGCU
ensembl:rRNA 5S_rRNA 5S ribosomal RNA